AUGUUAAACAAAGAUAGAAUGACGUAAUAGCGCUGAUAGCGUGCUCUCCGAACGCAGCCAUAGUAUAUAUACUGGCAUGAACAAGCAGCAUUUUAUUCAGUAAAACAAGUGAUCUGUAAAAUAAGAGAGCUCUUUGGUAAUUCAUUUUAAAGCGUAUAUUGGUCUUAACUUAUAUUUGUGUGACAACGUGUUAUUUGCACACGCAGGAAUCUUUUAUAUUUUAUUUAAGAAACUCUUGCGAUUCUGACUGCUAUUUCAAAUAGUUGUAAAAAUAAACUCCAUGGAAGCUCGCAUUUUUACUGUGGAAAAUAAUGUCUAUAAAGGACCAGUGGUUAAUUACACAAGUACCUAUAAAAGCAUCGGACACUUGAUAUGGGAUAAACUUACUAGCCAUGGGAAUAAAAUUGCACAUGUGAGUCUAUUUCUCUCAUAAU